rnacentral:rRNA from 1 species
UACAGAGGUCUCAAGCGUUGUUCGGAUUCAGUUGGGCGUAAAGAGUCGUGUAGGCGGCCCCUUAAGUCCUGGCGUGAAACUCCUGCGGCUCAACCGCAGACGGUCGUGGGAAACUGGAGGGCUAGAGUGCGGGAGAGGAGAGUGGAAUUCCCGGUGUAGCGGAUGAACGCGCAGAUAUCGGGAAGAACCACCCGUGGCGAAGGCGGCUCUCUGGAACGCAACUGACGCUGAGACGCGAAAGCGUGGGGAGCAAACAGG